rnacentral:misc_RNA from 2 species
CAACCCUCAAGCUCUGCUUGGUCUUGGGCCGCGCCGGUAACGGCGGGCCUCAAAAACAGUGGCGGCGCCGGUCGCGUCCUCAGCGUAGUAAUUCUUCUCGCUGCUGGGCGCGGGCGGCCGCUGGCCAACAACCCCAAAUUUUCUAU